AACGAACGCUGGCGGCAGGCUUAACACAUGCAAGUCGAACGAGAUCCUCGGAUCUAGUGGCAGACGGGUGAGGAACACGUGGGAACAUCCCUUUCAGUUCGGAAUAACGUUGGGAAACUAACGCUAAUACCGGAUACGUCCUUCGGGAGAAAGAUUUAUCGCUGAAAGAUUGGCCCGCGUCUGAUUAGCUAGUUGGUGAGGUAAUGGCUCACCAAGGCUACGAUCAGUAGCUGAUCUGAGAGGAUGAUCAGCCACAUUGGGACUGAGACACGGCCCAAACUCCUACGGGAGGCAGCAGUGGGGAAUAUUGGACAGUGGGCGCAAGCCUGAUCCAGCCAUGCCGCGUGAGUGAUGACGGCCUUCGGGUUGUAAAGCUCUUUUGUCCGGGAAGAUAAUGACUGUACCGGAAGAAUAAGCCCCGGCAAACUUCGUGCCAGCCGCCGCCGUAAAAC
rnacentral:rRNA from 1 species